ensembl:snRNA U4 U4 spliceosomal RNA
AGCUUUGUGCAGUGGCAGUAUCGUAGCCAGUGAGAUUUAUCGGAGGCGUGAUCACUGCUAAUUGAAAACUUUUCUAUAAAGGAAC